UUCUAAUAGAAUUUAUUAUUAGUAAAAUCUGCUCAAUGAAAUAUAAAUAGCCGCAAUUUAUGUGCUAAGGUAGCAUAAUCAUUUGUCUUUUAAUUAAAGACUAGAACGAAAGAUUUAACAUUUAAACUCCUUUUUUAAAAAAUAUUUUUUAAUUUAUCUUAAAUAUAAAAAGAUAUUUAUUUAUAAAAUAGACGAUAAGACCCUAUUGAACUUAACUUUAGUUUUGCUGGGGUAGUAAAUUAAUUAAUAUUUUAUAUAAAAUUAUACAUUAAAAGACCUUAAAAUUUAAAUUAACUGAUCAAGUUACCAUAGGGAUAACAGCGUAAUAUUUAUUUUAAGAUCUUAUUUAAAUAAAUGAUUGCGACCUCGAUGUUGAAUAAUAAUCUAUUUAAAUGCAACCAUUUAAUAAGAAAGUCUGUUCGACUUUUAAACAAUUACA
rnacentral:rRNA from 1 species